rnacentral:misc_RNA from 1 species
CAACCCUCAAGCCCCCGGGCUUGGUGUUGGGGAUCGGCGAUAGUCGCCGUCCCCCAAAUCUAGUGGCGGUCUCGCUGUAGCCUCCAUUGCGUAGUAGCUAACACCUCGCAACUGGAACGCGGCGCGGCCAAGCCGUUAAACCCCCAACUUCUGAA